GGAGCAUGUGGUUAAUUCGACGCAACGCGAAGAACCUUACCAGGGCUUGACAUCCCCUGACCGCGUAUGAAGUACGUUUUCACCUUCGGGAGACAGGGAGACAGGUGGUGCAUGGUUGUCGUCAGCUCGUGUCGUGAGAUGUUGGGUUAAGUCCCGCAACGGGCGCAACCCUUGUCCUUAGUUGCCAACGUAAAGUCGUGCACUCUAGGGAGACUGCCGGAGACAAUUCGGAGGAAGGUGGGGAUGACGUCAAAUCAUCAUGCCCCUUAUGUCCUGGGCUACACACGUGCUACAAUGGGCUGUACAAAGGGUAGCGAAGCCGCGAGGUGGAGCCAAUCCCAUAAAACAGCUCUCAGUUCAGAUCGCAGGCUGCAACUCGCCUGCGUGAAGAUGGAGUUGCUAGUAAUCGUGGAUCAGCAUGCCACCGGUGAACUGCGUUCCGGGCCUU
rnacentral:rRNA from 1 species